rnacentral:tRNA from 2 species
AGAGAAAUAUGUGAAGUUACUGCUAAUAAUUUUUUGUCAAUUUAUUUUGGCUUUCUCUU